UAAAUAUUUCCACAGAACCGAUAGUAAACAAGUACCGCGAGGGAAAGUUGAAAAGCACUCUGAAGAGAGAGUUAAAAGACCGUGAAACCGCUCAGAGUAUAAGCCAAUGGUUUUCGGAAGGCAGGGUCUAGAUUACCCCCCGGCUGAGCUGAUGCUGUUCCAGGGAAGGGAAUCUAUCGUGUAUGUAAAGAUCAGAAGGCGCGGAGUGGUCAUAGUCACGUGGCAUUAAGUUGAUAACACACCGGAAAAUGAAAACUUGCGGGUCCCUGAGAGUCUAAUGAUGGAAGCUCCAUUGGCGGAGUGGAUAUCCUUGGGAUACUGGUUGCAAGCCUGCGUUUAUCGCAUUUACUAACGAGUUGACUACAUACUGCCCACCACAACUCUUUACGAGGUCAGACACGCAGGUCGUGGCUUUGAUGGUGCUCUGCGUGUUCAUACCAGCACAGGGAUCUAGUGUACCGUAAGCAAACACAGCCCGAGCGUGCGCCUCUAGCGCUCGGGUGACCCUGUGCCGGCAGGCACUUCCACGACCAUCCAGAAAGCGUGCUUCUUUGAUCCUCUGUGAAGGUUGCUAUUCUGACGCCCCUAAAGCCUGUAUUCAUAGUCCCAGUGGCUGUGAUGAAGAGAGUUUAGUAGCUUACCUAACCUGAUGAAUCCGUCUGUAGGAACUUGCUAGUUAGCAAGGCCUGCAGCCGGGGAGGGCUGAGGGCGAAACGAGUCUCUGUUGGUGGCGGGGGUGAUUGGUGUCUUAUUCCGGAACCAUCGGUCACGUCUCGAAACACGGGCC
rnacentral:rRNA from 1 species